rfam:Oryza punctata chromosome 6, whole genome shotgun sequence.
CCUUUAGAUGAAGAAGAUAUUGUUGCUUAUAUUUUAAAUGGGUUAGAAGACGAUUAUGAGCCAAUUGUGACUGCACUGGUAACAAGGGUUGAGCCUCUUACUGUACCGGAUUUAUACUCUCAAUUGCUUAACUUUGAGC